UACGUAGGGUCCGAGCGUUGUCCGGAAUUACUGGGCGUAAAGCGUGCGUAGGCGGGUCUUUAAGUCAGGGGUGAAAUCCUGGAGCUCAACUCCAGAACUGCCUUUGAUACUGAGGAUCUUGAGUUCGGGAGAGGUGAGUGGAACUGCGAGUGUAGAGGUGAAAUUCGCAGAUAUCAGGAGGAACACCAACAGCGAAGGCAGCACUCUGGGCCGGUACUGACGCUGAGGAGCGAAAGCAUGGGGAGCGAACAGG
rnacentral:rRNA from 1 species